AACGAACGCUGGCGGCAGGCCUAACACAUGCAAGUCGAACGCCGUAGCAAUACGGAGUGGCAGACGGGUGAGUAACGCGUGGGAACAUACCCCUCGGUUCGGAAUAACUUAGGGAAACUUGAGCUAAUACCGGAUACGUCCGAGGUUUUAACCGGCCUCGGAGAAAGAUUUAUCGCCGGAGGAUUGGCCCGCGUCUGAUUAGCUUGUUGGUGAGGUAAUGGCUCACCAAGGCGACGAUCAGUAGCNGGUCUGAGAGGACGGCCAGCCACACUGGCACUGACACACGGGCCAGACUCCUACGGGAGGCAGCAGGUGGGGAAUUUUGGGCAAUGGGCGAAAGCCUGACCCAGCAACGCCGCGUGAGGGAGAAAUCCUUCGGGAUGUAAACCUCACAAGCAAGGGAAGAGAGCUCAGGGCCGAAUAAGCUUUGAGUCCGACGGUACCUUGCGUAAGCCACGGCUAACUACGUGCCAGC
rnacentral:rRNA from 1 species